UCCUCCGUUUGACCUUCCCCGCAAAGCCCCGCCCCUCGCAACUCAUCCUCCCACCUGGCUUUGCUGGCUUAGCUCCAAGCCCUGCUCUGGCUCUUCCCUUUGCUUGCUCAGGCCAGGGCUCAGCCUGACUCGCUCUGCCCCACCCCAGGGCAUGGCUUACCUGCACGCUCAGCACUACAUUCACCGAGACCUCGCUGCGCGAAACGUGCUGCUGGACAACGACCGGCUGGUCAAGAUUGGAGACUUUGGCCUAGCCAAGGCUGUACCUGAAGGCCACGAGUACUACCGAGUGCGCGAGGACGGGGACAGCCCAGUAUUCUGGUGAUCAGGAGCGGGCAUAGUCUGAGGGGGCAGGGUGGAAAAGACACUGGGAUGCA
rnacentral:lncRNA from 1 species